UACGAAGGGGGCUAGCGUUGUUCGGAAUUACUGGGCGUAAAGGGCGCGUAGGCGGCUUCGAUAGUCGGGUGUGAAAUGCCUGGGCUCAACCCAGGAACUGCACUCGAAACUCCGAGGCUAGAGUGUGGGAGAGGAUAGUGGAAUUCCCAGUGAUAGAGGUGAAAUUCGUAGAUAUUGGGAAGAACACCGGUGGCGAAGGCGGCGUAUCUGGACCACAACGUGACGCUGAGGCGCGAAAGCUAGGGGAGCAAACAGG
rnacentral:rRNA from 1 species